CGUCACGCCGUAGCCCCGACGGAGGCCAAACUCUCGGAAGUGGGUUGAGGCAGUUAGCUGCUUCCUUGCUGGCCGACGACUGCAAGCGGGGCGCGGCGGGAGGCGGAAGGGAGGCUGAAAGGGAGACAGGAAAGACGACGACCACCUUCGUCGCCUCCGGCCGCGGGCAGGGACCGCUCCCACCUCCGCCGCCAUGGCCGUGUCGGAGAGUCAGCUGAAGAAAAUGCUGGGCAAGUACAAAUACAGAGACCUGUCUGUUCAAGAAACUAUCAGUGUUAUUGCCCAGUAUAAAGAUCUCAAACCUGUAAUGGAUGGCUAUGUUUUUAAUGAUGGUUCAUCAAGAGAGUUGAUGAGCCUCACUGGAACUAUUCCUGUAAGUUACAGAGGUAAUACUUACAAUAUUCCAAUAUGUCUCUGGCUGUUGGAUACAUAUCCAUUCAAUCCCCCUAUCUGCUUUGUUAAACCAACGAGUACAAUGACAAUUAAAACUGGAAAACAUGUUGAUGCAAAUGGCAAGAUUUAUCUUCCAUAUCUCCAUGAAUGGAAACAUCCACAAUCAGAUUUGAUAGGAUUGAUUCAAGUUAUGAUCGUGGUGUUUGGAGAGGAGCCUCCAGUGUUUUCUCGGCCUACUAUUUCAGCAGGCUAUCCACCUUAUCAGGCAACAGGACCACCAAACGCUUCCUACAUGCCAGGUAUGCCAAGUGGAAUGUCUCCUUAUCCCCCAGGGCCUCCUCCUAAUCCAAGUGGUUAUCCCUACCCUUUUCCUCAACCUAGUGGACCAUUUCCAGCAACAACUAGCACUCAACACUAUCCAUCUCAACCUCCUGUAACCACUGUGGCAGAUGGCAGAAGAAAGCAGAAACAGGUAUGGAUUUGUGGUCAUUCUUACGUUUUUUGGGCAGAAAAACGAGCACUUGAAAGAAGCUUUGGCCCAAAAUUGGGUGUUCGGCUGCAGGAUGCCAAAAUACAUUGGCUAGGAAAGAGCGGCAUGACUUGGGACCAGUUAAUACCCACUCUGUUGCAUGCGCGACGUCGUCUACCAGAUCCUGAUGUUCUGGUGAUCCAUUUAGGGGGAAAUGACCUGGGGACAGACAGAAAUAUGGAUAUCAUAAACCAAAUGAAGAAGGAUCUGGGACAUCUUAAGCAAAUAUUAAAGAAUAGCAUUCUGGUCUGGUCGAAUAUUGUGCCCCGUAAAGUAUGGAACCAAGAGAUACACCAUGAAGUGAUGGAGAAAAGCAGGAGACAAGUCAAUCAAGCAAUUGGCCAUUUUAUUGAGCGUACUGGAGGAGUAGUUGUUCGACAUGAUACACUUGUGCCAGGAUCUCCUGGAUUGUUCCAUCUCAACGGUGUCCUUUUGUCGGAAAGUGGAACAGAAAUCUUCAUCCUGGAUUUACUGAAUGCUUUGGAGACUUUGGUUUGACUUAUACUAGAGGAUUUGUGAUUUUUACUAGUGUUGAAGCUCUACAGAUAAAAGAUUGUUAUAAGAUUGUGAGCAGUGUGGAAUUUGCAAGUAGGAAAAUUGAUCUAUUAUUAAUGUGGUGGGCAUGGGUUGGUAAUGUUGUAGUGUCAUGUGCUGCCCGGCAGCUGACGCAGCUGCACAUCUGCCCAUAUAUUUAAUUGUGUUAAGUUUUGCUUCACUUUUUAAAUAUUAAAUUAAUUUCUGAUGUUUCCUUAGAAACAGUGCCAAAUCGUUUAAUUCUGUUUUAUAGCCUAACUUUCACAGAGGAAUGCAUAUACAUAUAUCAGCCUAAAGUAUGAGUUGGACUACUCAUCAGUAUUGGUUCUUAAUAUUACAAUAAAUUUAAGAAAUGCUGUAUAAAAUCUUGAAUGAGGUGAUAUGAGUAGGUAAGUCAGCUGAAGAAGAUAUCUAAUAUAUUCAGGAGAUUGAUGAAGAAAAAGAGAGAGAAAGAGAAAGAGCACACGAGAUCCCUGAUUGUCUUCAGAUGCUGAUUAAUAGAUUGAUAGUUCCCAUUUCAACUAUAAUGGGAAAUGUAGCUCCAAAAGACAAGAAAGAAGACAAAGGGGAAAGUAUGUGUCUGAUGCAUGUUUACAGCUUUAGUGAACUCUGGUUUCUGUAAUAUCUGAACUGACUCUGGAGCUGUGUUGCUAUAGCACAUUAUACACAUGAUUAUGAGAUAAAGUUACUGUAAUUUUAAACUUUUAUGAGCUUGAUCUUAGUCUUGCCCUGAAAACUGAUACUUCUAUUGAGAAAUUAUAUGAUCACAUUCAUUUUGAUUCAGAGAUAGAUCUGUAUUCACAAAGGAAAAAAAAUGUACUUUUUUCCAUAGAAAUUUAUGGAAAGGUUGUUAUAGGUGGCAGUGUUUUUAGCUUUGGAGUGGUAUGCCUUGGUUGUGAGAAACACAUAAAUGUUUGCUUUUUCCACUUCCUGUAAUGCAUCAUUUUGUUGUAAAAGAUCACCACAAUAUUCUCAGUGCAAUUAAUGACAUUUAUAAAGGAUUUAAAAUGCAAAGCAGUGUGCUUUAGCUAUGGUUAUAUCACCCUGGACUAAAGAAAUUUCCAAAUGUGGUGGGAUUACAAUUCUAUAUAUUAUAUAUCUUGGAAUUAAUGUUGUUAGUUAGUUGAGAGGAGAAUAAAAGAUAGGAAAACAUUUGCACAGCAAAACCAUGUAAUAGAAUUAACAGUUCUGUAUUUUUAAAAAGUUUCAGAAGAAAAGAAGUCUCAGUGUUUUGAUGCAGAAUCCCAUGUAAAUUACUUUCAUAUAACAUUGUGCCUUUGAAUUCUUUCACAAGUGUGUGUGUGCAUGCAUGCACAUACAUGAAAGAGAGACAAGUUUCUCUACUUAUAUGAAUCCAAAUUACAGAAGAAAUAUAGCUGAUGGCUUUAAUGACCAAACUUCUGAACCUGUUAAGUUUUCUGGAGGUAGAAUUUUGAAGCUGUAGUUCAGCACAAGCUUGACUGAGGAAUGCAGGACUACACAAAUGAAAUACUGCAGACAUCCAUAUAAAUAUUGCAUGUUUGAAAAUGAACUUUAGUACAACUUACGAUGAAGAAAGUGGACAUUGCUAUUUUAUUCAACUUCUCUUUUGAAUACCUCUGAGAUUUUCCAGCAAGAAGAAUGAUAUAGCCUUUAGGUAUUACAAGAACUGGAUUCCAGGGCACACAUAGCCCCACUUAAAAGCACUUGCAGCAGUUUGUGUUUUGUAUACUUCCUAGUAAUAGGGCUUUGAGUUCCAGUAUUCUGUAAAAACCUAGUAUUUUUUUUCUAUCUCGUUUUUGGUAAGAGUUAUUGAUCCAUCUAAUUUGUAUCAUUUGGAUUGUCUGUUUUUAAAAUAAAAUAGUCUGUCUCUUUUCAUCAUUAUGUGUUAUGUUAGCAGGCAUUGAAAAUUGAAUGAUGCGAAUGAUUUCCCCCUAAACCUAUCUUGAAAUGUUCUUCAGGUUGCUAAAUGUUCUCUAUUGAUGCAAUCCGCUACCAAUUAGAAUAUCCACUCCCCAAAAUUUAUUAUAUUCUAUUAAAGCAGUGGUUCUCAACCUGUGGGUCCCCAGAUAAAACAUCAACUCCCAGAAAUCCUAAAAGCUGGUAAACUGGCUGGUUGAAAAGCACUGUAUUAAAAUAAUAAUAAUAAUAAUAAUAAUAAUAAUAAUAAUAAUAAUGUUAAACUGUAAAUAUGUGUUAUAAUGGGUAAUUGGUGACCAUUAUUUUUAUAAAUCAAUAUGUUUUAUUUUAUUCAGAUUUUGUUACAUAAAUAUCUUCCAUUUACACAAAGCAAUACUAGAACAGUUUUAUAUUGCCAAGUGAAUAGUAACAUUCUGCAUUCUUCAGGAAGCAAGGUCAUUUCAUGUCAAAGGUGGUGAUCAACUGUGUCAAUAUUAACUUUUAGGUUUUUGUCUUCAGAUUAUUAUAUUGCUCAAAGGCUGUAACAUUUCAUGUUAAAAGUUACAAUGUUGAAUAACCUUCUUGAGUUGUUUAAGAUGUUCAUAGUUCAUGUUGUUGGCUGUAUCUUAUUUGAACACAACGUGUUGGUUACUGUAAAGUUUGAUCCAUUGAAUUAUCCAGAGUGUAGUAUUUCUCAUUCCUAUUCAUUGCUGUAAAAGUUGAAUAUUGAGGAAAGCUGAAAGGCAGAAAAUUACCUAAUUAAGAUAGGGUGCAGGAGAAAAGGUCUAAUGAUACAUGUACUGCUAAAAAGGCAAAUCGGUUUUAGAGCAAAUAAUGUCUCAACUCUCCCUAAAAGUGAAGAUGACUAAACUAAGGCUGUUGUACUUUGGACAUAUGGUAAAGUGGAAGGUAGUAGGAAAGGAGGAAAAUCAGUACCAUUGGAUUGAUUAAGCCAAGGAAGCUAUAGCCUUAAGUUUGCAAGACCUGAGUCAUGGUAAUUGCUGACUGGAGUUCUCCCAUUUGUAGAGUUGCUAUAGUUUGAAAUCGAUGGCAGAUAAUAUAAUGGCAAGCUCAGCUAAAUAAUUAUCUACUAUGGCAUUUUUGGAAGUUAGCAAAAUGGUUGCUUUCAACCUGUUCUGGAGCCCUUAUUCAUAUCUAAUUACUUUUAAGAAUAAAUGCACUCUAAUAAAAUUAUAUUUAACAUUUAACCCCACUAGAUUUCGUCACCAUUGGUGCAAAUGUCACUGGUUUCCAACUCUAUAGUUGGAAUUGACAUUUAUUUAUCCCCUUGUUUGGGAUCCCUAUUUGAUUAAAGUUUAGCACUACAACACUGUUCAAUUAUGGUGUUGAAGAUUAUAUGCUAUAUUGAAAUCUGCUUGAUGGUAGAGAUUUUUAAAUAUAUAUAUUUUAAAUGCUUAUAACUUAACUUCUUUAGCUGGCAAGUUGAGCCUUGGCUUCUGCUUUACUUUCUAAUUCAGAAGGUCAUCUGCAGUACUGUAAGGUCAAUAUCUUAAGGUCAUUUGUGAAAUCAGACUCUAUAUGGCAAAGGUUAGAUGUCUUGAAUGUUCUCUGAAAUAAGUGGCUGUAUGCCAUUACAUCUCCUCAAAGAGUAGCUAAUUAUGGAAGUGAUAGAAACUCUUAACUCAUGUACUUAAAAGAGGUCUGUAAGCUAUUAGUUUUCUUAUGAAUACAUUAUGACAAUUGUACAUUGUAAAAUUGUAUAUACACAUUGAGAUUGCCACUUUUAAAUUUCUACUUUAUUUAUGUUUUGGACAUAAGUAAAUAUAUUUGAUUAAAAUAUUGUCCUGAGUUAUGUGUAUAUGGAAUAAGCAGUACUUAUGGAAUAAGCAGUACUUAUGAAUAUAUGGCUUUGAAUAGUUGCCUUUGUAAGGCCAUCCUGAAUCCCCAUCCGGGUUGAGAAGGUUGGGAUAUAAAUGUAGUAAAUAAUUAAAUAUACCUGUACAUGAGGAACAGACAUCUGUAGGGGAGAAUAUUGUACUCAGUUGUUAGUCCACUAUUUGCACAGGGGUUUGCUUUGUGUGUUAGCUUUUCAGAGACAUCUUCUUAGUUCAUGUGUUGUAUCUAUGGCAAGCUGCCUUGCCAGCAGGUUUGGCAUGGAGGAACCACAUGUUGACAGCAGGAAACCGAUAUCAAUCUACUUUAAAGGUACUGUAUUAGAAUGCUGGCUUAAUUUGCUCACUUAUUCUGUGGCAUUCUUACCACACAUCUAGUCCAUUAAAUACAAUGUCUGCUCCUAAAUCCAGAAUCAUGCUAUCACCUCACACUUCUACAUCAGAACAACUGAACUUCCCUUUCCUCAACUGCCAGAUAACUAAUGCUGGAGUGUUUCUGGAUUAUUGGGAGGAGGAACUGCAAUAGUUCUUUCUACAAAGUUCUGCUCUUGCUCCAGCUGAAACCAUGUUCCAUUCUGCUCUUAGUCUGUAAAAGAUAUUUUUUGACUUUGUAUUUAUGUCAGGUGAGAGGAAUUCAUAUAAUUAUUGAUGUACUUAUUAAACCGCUUUUAUUAGGUCACAAAUCACUCUUACUUAGUUUUGGCUAAUUAAGCCUAGCAUCUUUAUACGUAUUGCAUAGCCAUACUUCACUCAUACUUUGCACAAAUCACCUGAGAUUAUAUAUAGUGUUAAAAAAGAAUGACUUCCUAUCAUACUAAUUAAUAAAAGCCAGAUAUAUUUGAAAAGAAAAUGACUUCUACAUACUGAUUUGAACCCAGCAUUUGCAGUUUUCAGUUGCUAGUGGAACACACAACAUAUUAAUAACAAUAUUUUAAAGCUAAAAGCAAAGAAAAUGGAAUAGGUAUGUUCCUAGUUUUCUAAUUACACUUGCCCUUGUGUAGGUGUAACUCCCAAAUAUGUGCUUCUAUUUAAUGGAUGAAAUUGUGAUUUGUUCGAAAACAUGCAGACAAGCUAUAUUCUGUUAUAGAUGUUCAUCCUGGUCCUUGCUUCUUCAUUGAUCUAACUUAGUUUCAUUUUUGAGUUUGGAUGAAUUUCUUAAAAACAAUUUGUUCUGUUUUGUUUUGUCUGAAAUAACUGAUUGUAUGCAUAUAGCAGCAUGUAGCAACCUAAAUUUCUUCUGUACAUAUUUAUUUUUUGGAAGUAUAUAUGUGAUUUUUAUCUCAAAAGUAUUGUAUGAAAAAUGUUCGGUAUCAGUAAAGCGCAUUUCUUGGUCAUCCUUUCUUUGAUAGCAUUUUAAGCAUGUUUAUAGGGAGAAUGGAACCUGGAACUAUCUAUUCCAUAUUCUUAACUUAUUAAAAAUAUGGUCUUCCAAUGUAAUGAAAGGUAAUACUGCCAAUCUUUGAAAUAACUCCCCCCCCCAAAAAAGCCCCCAGCAGAACUGACAUAUUAAUGUUUUUCAUUAAAAGAAUUUUUGUUUGUUUAAUUGAAGCUUGUCGUGCAAAAGAAUUUCAUUGUUUGACAACAUUUUUCAGUGCCCAUAGACAUUGCAAGCUGAUAUAUUUUGAAGAGCAGAGCAGAAAUAUUUAAGGCAUCAUAUGGGAUGUUUACUUAGGACUAUGGACUGGAUGUUUACUUAGGACUAUGAACUGUAACUUACAUGAGUCCAAGGCUGAAGAUGGAAUGAAGAUAAUGAAAGUGGAUAAGAAUACAUUGAUAAAUACUACAAUCAAUAACUAAAUUUGAAAUGUGUUUCGAGAAUCUAGAAAAUAGUCAACAUUAAUUUUAAGAACUUUCACAUUGAAAAGCUUAUACUCAUCUUGGUUCAGUAUCAUUGAAACCGAUGCAAAAGAAAAUGAAAGGUUGAAGGAAAAGUUCUGAAACGGAAUAAUACAAUAUCCUUUAUUUUUCAUCAAGUGAAGUACCAAGUCUUGAGUUGGAAAGACAGAUCAGAGACAAUGGUUCCCAAAAUCAUUUUGGCUUAAAGAAGGAAUCUACAAGCAACACAGAGGAGAUCCAAAAACUACAGGAUGAAUUCUACUAGUUCAGUUAUAGUUUCUAGGUGGACAUUUUAAAAAGUUAACAUUGAAGACUGAGAAAUUGCUGGGAUGGACUAUAUUAUGAUGAUCUUUAGGAAUCUGAUGCUUUUUAUAGCAAGGGAAAUUGUUAAAAGGACAAAGAGAAUGGACUGAGAGUUAUGAAAAAGUCAGUAAUUAAGAAGAAGAUUUUUAAUAUUGAGCAAAAUGGAUGACAGCAAGCUCAGACUACAUAUGAAACCUGUGAGGCACUUUGAAUUGGUAUGAUAAGGUCCCAGCAGAGAUGGCACAAUUAGUGAAGAUACUAUUAGAGCUUCUCUUAUUUCAGCAGUCAGUGAUAAAUUGAGAUGGCGAAUGAAAGAAGAGAUGGACCGGGCCCAGGCAGAGCUCAAUGCUUUGAAGCGGACAGAGGAAGAUCUGAAGAAGGGCCAUCAAAAA